UGAACGCUGGCGGCAUGCCUUACACAUGCAAGUCGAACGGCAGCGCGGGAGCAAUCCUGGCGGCGAGUGGCGAACGGGUGAGUAAUACAUCGGAACGUGCCCAAUCGUGGGGGAUAACGCAGCGAAAGCUGUGCUAAUACCGCAUACGAUCUACGGAUGAAAGCAGGGGAUCGCAAGACCUUGCGCGAAUGGAGCGGCCGAUGGCAGAUUAGGUAGUUGGUGAGGUAAAGGCUCACCAAGCCUUCGAUCUGUAGCUGGUCUGAGAGGACGACCAGCCACACUGGGACUGAGACACGGCCCAGACUCCUACGGGAGGCAGCAGUGGGGAAUUUUGGACAAUGGGCGAAAGCCUGAUCCAGCCAUGCCGCGUGCAGGAUGAAGGCCUUCGGGUUGUAAACUGCUUUUGUACGGAACGAAACGGCCUUUUCUAAUAAAGAGGGCUAAUGACGGUACCGUAAGAAUAAGCACCGGCUAACUACGUGCCAGCAGCCGCGGUAAU
rnacentral:rRNA from 1 species